rnacentral:rRNA from 1 species
AAUAUUGCACAAUGGGCGAAAGCCUGAUGCAGCGACGCCGCGUGAGGGAUGACGGCCUUCGGGUUGUAAACCUCUUUCAGUAGGGAAGAAGCCCCUUUUUGGGGUGACGGUACUUGCAGAAGAAGCGCCGGCUAACUACGUGCCAGCAGCCGCGGUAAUACGUAGGGCGCAAGCGUUAUCCGGAAUUAUUGGGCGUAAAGAGCUCGUAGGCGGUUUGUCGCGUCUGCCGUGAAAGUCCGAGGCUCAACCUCGGAUCUGCGGUGGGUACGGGCAGACUAGAGUGAUGUAGGGGAGACUGGAAUUCCUGGUGUAGCGGUGAAAUGCGCAGAUAUCAGGAGGAACACCGAUGGCGAAGGCAGGUCUCUGGGCAUUUACUGACGCUGAGGAGCGAAAGCAUGGGGAGCGAACA